AUACGGAGGAUCCGAGCGUUAUCCGGAUUUAUUGGGUUUAAAGGGUGCGCAGGCGGCCAUUUAAGUCAGCGGUUAAAUCGUGGGGCUCAACCCCAUUCUGCCGUUGAUACUGGGUGGCUUGAUUGCGGUCGAGGUUGGCGGAAUUCGUUGUGUAGCGGUGAAAUGCAUAGAUAUGACGAAGAACACCGAUUGCGUAGGCAGCUGACCAGACCGCAAAUGACGCUCAUGCACGAAAGUGCGGGGAUCGAACAGGAUUAGAUACCCUGGUAGUCCGCACAGUAAACGAUGAAUACUUGCUUUCGGCGAUAUAAUGUCGGAGGCAAAGCGAAAGCGAUAAGUAUUCCACCUGGGGAGUACGCCGGCAACUGUGAAACUCAAAGGAAUUGACGGGG
rnacentral:rRNA from 1 species